GAUGAACGCUGGCGGCGUGCUUAACACAUGCAAGUCGAACGAUGAAGCCCAGCUUGCUGGGUGGAUUAGUGGCGAACGGGUGAGUAACACGUGAGUAACCUGCCCUUAACUCUGGGAUAAGCCUGGGAAACUGGGUCUAAUACCGGAUAGGAGCGUCCACCGCAUGGUGGGUGUUGGAAAGAUUUAUCGGUUUUGGAUGGACUCGCGGCCUAUCAGCUUGUUGGUGAGGUAAUGGCUCACCAAGGCGACGACGGGUAGCCGGCCUGAGAGGGUGACCGGCCACACUGGGACUGAGACACGGCCCAGACUCCUACGGGAGGCAGCAGUGGGGAAUAUUGCACAAUGGGAGCAAGCCUGAUGCAGCGACGCCGCGUGAGGGAUGACGGCCUUCGGGUUGUAAACCUCUUUCAGUAGGGAAGAAGCGAAAGUGACGGUACCUGCAGAAGAAGCACCGGCUAACUACGUG
rnacentral:rRNA from 1 species